rnacentral:rRNA from 1 species
CAAUAGCGUAUAUUAAAGUUGUUGCGGUUAAAAAGCUCGUAGUUGGAUUUCUGUUGGGAACGACCGGUCCGCCCAUUGGGUGUGUAUCUGGCUUGUUCUCGGCAUCUUCUUGGUGAACGUUGCUGCACUUGACUGUGUGGAGCGCUACCCAGGACUUUUACUUUGAGGAAAUUAGAGUGUUUCAAGCAGGCAUAUGCCUUGAAUACAUUAGCAUGGAAUAAUAAGAUAGGACCUCGGUUCUAUUUUGUUGGUUUCUAGAGCUGAGGUAAUGAUUAAUAGGGAUAGUUGGGGGCAUUCGUAUUUAACUGUCAGAGGUGAAAUUCUUAGAUCGGUCAAAGGCGAACUACUGCGAACGCAUUCGCCAAGAAUGUUUUCUUUAA